rnacentral:rRNA from 1 species
GGUGAACGCUGGCGGCGUGCUUAAGACAUGCAAGUCGAACGGCAGUCUUCGGACUGUAGUGGCGCACGGGUGAGUAACGCGUAACUGACCUACCCCAAAGUCGCGGAUAACGAUUCGAAAGAAUCGCUAAUACGUGAUGUGCUGUCAGAUUGUGUUCUGCCAGUAAAGAUUGAUUGCUUUGGGAUGGGGUUGCGUUCCAUCAGCUAGUUGGUGGGGUAAAGGCCCACCAAGGCGACGACGGAUAGCCGGCCUGAGAGGGUGGCCGGCCACAGGGGCACUGCGACACGGGUCCCACUCCUACGGGAGGCAGCAGUUAGGAAUCUUCCACAAUGGGCGAAAGCCUGAUGGAGCGACGCCGCGUGAGGGAUGAAGGUCUUCGGAUCGUAAACCUCUGAAUCAGGGACGAAAGACACUUCGGUGGGAUGACGGUACCUGAGUAAUAGCACCGGCUAACUCCGUGCCAGCAGCCGCAGUAAAAC